GGGUCACAGUGUCACACACCGAGGCGCGGGGUCGCACUUUGUCACACGGGGUCACACUUUGUCACACAAUUCACACUUUUUGUCACACAAUUCACACUUUUUGUCACACAAUUCACGCUUUGUCACACGGUGUCACACGGUGUCGCACGGUGUCGCACGGUGUCGCACACCGUCACACACACGAUCUCUCUCUCACACGGUGGCCCAGGUCACCGCGCUGUCCCCCCCGGGCACGGCCGGACCUGGGGGUGCUGUCCCCCAUCCCGGGGGGGUCCGGGGUCAGGUUGUCCCUAAGGAGGGGACCCUGGGGGUCCCUGCUGGGGACAGUGUGAGGGUCCCUGCUCGGCCCCACGGCUGCUGUGGGACCCCUCCCCAGGCCCUGCGCCUCCCCCGGGCUGGCCCUGACCCCCCAACCCCUCCCGGGUUGCGGAGCAGCUCCCUUGGGCCGGGACCCCCGACCUGCCGGGGGGGUCCCCUGGGCUGGGACCCUUUGGGGUGGGGUCCCCCGUGGGGUGGCACCUCCCGGCAGGGAGGACAGCGCCAAGGGGCUCUCCUGCGCCCCCCGGGUUUGGGGGUGUUUCUGCCCCCCAGGGGAGCCCCCCGAGCCCCCUGCCCGCUCUCACCUGGAGGCUGCUCAUGCUGGCUCCGGGUGCUCGGGGGCAGCCGCGGGACCCCCGCGUUUAUGGCGGGGGGCGGCGAGGGGGGGCCGCCCGGCCCCGAGGGGACAAUGGGUGACCAAUUAACCCGUCCCGGUUAAUGUUUGAUCCCCUCACCCGCCUGGGGGGCUGCGGCUCCCGGAGGGGGCUGGGGGACCCCCGGGCCGGGCACCCCCGGUGUCCCCAGGGUGGGGCCGUGGGGUGACCCCGCGGGGACACGGGGGGCACCGGGGGGCACCGGGGGGGCUGCGGGCAGAGCGGGGUGUGCACACAGGUGUCACACGCGUGUCACACCUGCGCUGUCACAGCCGCGCCGGGACACGGGGACAGGGCUGNNNNNNNNNNNNNNNNNNNNNNNNNNNNNNNNNNNNNNNNNNNNNNNNNNNN
rnacentral:lncRNA from 1 species